rnacentral:misc_RNA from 1 species
GAUGAAGAACGUAGUGAAAUGCGAUAAGUAAUGUGAAUUGCAGAAUUCAGUGAAUCAUCGAAUCUUUGAACGCACAUUGCGCCCGGUAGUAUUCUGCCGGGCAUGCCUGUUCGAGCGUCAUUUCAACCAUCAAGCCCCAGCGCUUGUGUUGGGGGCCUGCGGCUGCCGCAGCCCCCUAAAAGCAGUGGCGGGCUCGCUAUCACACCGAGUGCAGUAGUUCAUCUUCUCUCCGGUCUUGUGAGGCGGGUUCCGGCCGUGAAACACCCCACUACAUUCAAGGUUGACCUCGGAUCAGGUAGGAAUACCCGCUGAACUUAAGCAUAUCAAUAAGCGGAGGA